rnacentral:rRNA from 1 species
GGGAUAACACUUGGAAACAGGUGCUAAUACCGUAUAACACUAUUUUCCGCAUGGAAGAAAGUUGAAAGGCGCUUUUGCGUCACUGAUGGAUGGACCCGCGGUGCAUUAGCUAGUUGGUGAGGUAACGGCUCACCAAGGCCACGAUGCAUAGCCGACCUGAGAGGGUGAUCGGCCACACUGGGACUGAGACACGGCCCAGACUCCUACGGGAGGCAGCAGUAGGGAAUCUUCGGCAAUGGACGAAAGUCUGACCGAGCAACGCCGCGUGAGUGAAGAAGGUUUUCGGAUCGUAAAACUCUGUUGUUAGAGAAGAACAAGGAUGAGAGUAGAACGUUCAUCCCUUGACGGUAUCUAACCAGAAAGCCACGGCUAACUACGUGCCAGCAGCCGCGGUAAUACGUAGGUGGCAAGCGUUGUCCGGAUUUAUUGGGCGUAAAGCGAGCGCAGGCGGUUUCUUAAGUCUGAUGUGAAAGCCCCCGGCUCAACCGGGGAGGGUCAUUGGAAACUGGGAGACUUGAGUGCAGAAGAGGAGAGUGGAAUUCCAUGUGUAGCGGUGAAAUGCGUAGAUAUAUGGAGGAACACCAGUGGCGAAGGCGGCUCUCUGGUCUGUAACUGACGCUGAGGCUCGAAAGCGUGGGGAGCGAACAGGAUUAGAUACCCUGGUAGUCCACGCCGUAAACGAUGAGUGCUAAGUGUUGGAGGGUUUCCGCCCUUCAGUGCUGCAGCA